UUGAACGCUGGCGGCAGGCCUAACACAUGCAAGUCGAGCGGAUGAAGGGAGCUUGCUCCUGGAUUCAGCGGCGGACGGGUGAGUAAUGCCUAGGAAUCUGCCUGGUAGUGGGGGAUAACGUCCGGAAACGGGCGCUAAUACCGCAUACGUCCUGAGGGAGAAAGUGGGGGAUCUUCGGACCUCACGCUAUCAGAUGAGCCUAGGUCGGAUUAGCUAGUUGGUGGGGUAAAGGCCUACCAAGGCGACGAUCCGUAACUGGUCUGAGAGGAUGAUCAGCCACACUGGAGCUGAGACACGGUCCAGACUCCUACGGGAGGCAGCAGUGGGGAAUAUUGGACAAUGGGCGAAAGCCUGAUCCAGCCAUGCCGCGUGUGUGAAGAAGGUCUUCGGAUUGUAAAGCACUUUAAGUUGGGAGGAAGGGCAGUAAGUUAAUACCUUGCUGUUUUGACGUUACCAACAGAAUAAGCACCGGCUAACUUCGUG
rnacentral:rRNA from 1 species